CUGCUAAUACCGCAUAAGACCACGAGGUCACAUGGCCUUGAGGUAAAAGGAGCAAUCCGAUCUGGGGUGAGCUCGCGUCCGAUUAGCCAGUUGGCGGGGUAACGGCCCACCAAAGCGACGAUCGGUAGCCGGCCUGAGAGGGCGAUCGGCCACACUGGAACUGAGAGACGGUCCAGACUCCUACGGGAGGCAGCAGUGGGGAAUAUUGGGCAAUGGGGGAAACCCUGACCCAGCAACGCCGCGUGAGGGAAGAAGGUUUUCGGAUUGUAAACCUCUGUCCUUGGUGACGAAGGAAGUGACGGUAACCAAGGAGGAAGCCCCGGCUAACUACGUGCCAGCAGCCGCGGUAAUACGUAGGGGGCAAGCGUUGUCCGGAAUGACUGGGCGUAAAGGGCGUGUAGGCGGCCGAUUAAGUCUGGAGUGAAAGUCCUGCUUUCAAGGUGGGAAUUGCUUUGGAGACUGGUUGGCUUGAGUGCGGAAGAGGUAAGUGGAAUUCCCAGUGUAGCGGUGAAAUGCGUAGAGAUUGGGAGGAACACCAGUGGCGAAGGCGACUUACUGGGCCGUAACUGACGCUGAGGCGCGAAAGCGUGGGGAGCGAACAGGAUUAGAUACCCUGGUAGUCCACGCGGUAAACGAUGAAUGCUAGGUGUAGCGGGUAUCGACCCCUGCUGUGCCGCAGUAAACACAAUAA
rnacentral:rRNA from 1 species